rnacentral:rRNA from 1 species
UUUAUUGAGGAUUUGAUCCUGGUCCAGGAUGAACGCUGGCGGCGUGGAUAAGGCAUGCAAGUCGUGCGGUCGUUCGUGCCUCACUGUGUUUAGUACGAACUCCCUAAAUUCAAAAAUCAAAAAUAAAAAUGCAAAAUUUAGGUAUGUGCUUCGCGCAUAAGUUUAUAAAAAUUGUUGCGUAGCGACACAAUAAUUUUGACUUUUGCAUUUUGCAUUUUGAAUUUAAGCGAGCGUCGAACAUAGCGAGGUGCGAGCGAUAGCGGCGAACGGGUUAGUAAUACCUUGGUACAUACCGUAGAGUUGGGGAUAGCCCAUCGAAAGGUGGGGUAAUACCGAAUAGUCUCCGACCGCGAAAGCGCGUCGGAGUAAAGCCGCAAGGCACUCUACGAUUGGCCUAGGUCCUAUCAGGUAGUUGGCGGGGUAAGAGCCCACCAAGCCGAUGACGGGUAGGGGAGCUGAGAGGCUGUUCCCCAACAGGGACACUGAGACACGGGUCCCACUCCUACGGGAGGCAGCAGUCGAGAAUAUUCGGCAAUGGGCGAAAGCCUGACCGAGCGACGCCGCGUGCAGGAAGAAGGUCUUCGGAUUGUAAACUGCUUUUAUUAGGGAUGAAGUCGCCUUUGGCGACUGACAGUACCUAGCGAAUAAGGGGUUGCUAACUACGUGCCAGCAGCCGCGGUAAUACGUAGGCCCCAAGCGUUAUCCGGAUUUAUUGGGCGUAAAGGGUGUGUAGGAUGUUUGGAGCAUCUUCUGUUAAAUCUCAGGGCCCAACCUUGGAAUUGCAGAAGAGAUGGCCAAACUAGAGAAUGCUAUAGGUUGAUGGAACAGCCGGUGUAGGGGUGAAAUCCGUUGAUAUCGGCUGGAACACCAGAGGUGAAAACGAUCAACUGGGGCAUAUCUGACUCUGAAACACGAAAGCGUGGGGAGCAAAAAGGAUUAGAUACCCUUGUAGUCCACGCCCUAAACGAUGCCUGCUAGCUAUUUUGAGUAUCGACCCUCGGAGUGGCGAAGCUAACGCGUUAAGCAGGCCGCCUGGGAAGUACGAGCGCAAGCUUAAAACUCAAAGGAAUAGACGGGGACUCGCACAAGCGGUGGAUCAUGAGGUUUAAUUCGACGGUAAACGAGGAACCUUACCAGGGCUAGAAAUCCUGACGACGACGUUUCGAAAGAGAUGUCUUCUCUCAAGGACGUCAGGACAGGUGCUGCAUGGUUGUCGUCAGCUCGUGGCUUGAGUUGUUCCCUUAAGUGGGGUAACGAGCGCAACCUCUGUCGUGUGUUACAAGUGUCACACGAGACCGCCCCCUCCAAGCGCAUUUACUUCGUAAAUGCUCAAAUUCAAAACUCAAAAUGCAAAGUUCAAAAUGAUUGAAGUUAAAAAUUUUAUAAAAGAAAAUUUUUAACAACCUGACUUUUGAUAUUUGAUAUUUGAUUUUCGAGUUUAGCACUGAGCGCAGCGAAGUGCGUUUAGAGGGGGAGGAAGAUGGAGAUGACGUCAAAUCAGCAUGGCCCUCUGAUGUCCUGGGCUACACUCAUGAUACAAUGGCUAAUACAAAGGGUUUGCCAAGCCGAAAGGCGGAGCUAAUCUCAAAAAAAUGGCCUUAGUUCGGAUUGGGGUCUGAAACUCGACCCCAUGAAGUCGGAAUCGCUAGUAAUCGCGGAUCAGCUAUGCCGCGGUGAAUACGUUCUCGAGUCCUGUACUCACCGCCCGUCACGUCAAGGGAGCCGGGAAGACCUAAAGCCGAGCACUCAGUUCAUAUUUCUGCAUCGUCGAUGUGUUUGAAGAAACGCAUUGGACGAUAAGCAUUGCUGAAAUAUAAAUGUGGCCUGAGUGCUCGGUUAGGGUCAGUUCGGUAACAGGGACGAAGUCGUAACAAGGCACCGGUAGCGGAAGCUGUCGGUGGAUC